UACAGAGGUCCCGAGCGUUGUUCGGAUUCACUGGGCGUAAAGGGUGCGCAGGUGGGUUUGCAAGUUUGAUGUGAAAGCCCCGGGCUUAACCCGGGAAUGGCAUUGAAUACUGCAGAUCUGGAGGAUUGGAGGGGGGACUGGAAUUCUUGGUGUAGCAGUGAAAUGCGUAGAUAUCAAGAGGAACACCGGUGGCGAAGGCGGGUCUCUGGGCCGAUACUGACGCUGAGGAGCGAAAGCGUGGGGAGCGAACAGG
rnacentral:rRNA from 1 species